AUGCCAGUGCGGCGAUUGUGUGAGGAGGUUUCAACGAUUGUUUUGCAUUUAUUAGUUAUCUGUUAUGAAAAUCUGCGUUUCUUGUGCAUGCUUUAUGCCAAUUCAUCACUCAUUUAUUAUUUUCUUUUUGGUUUGAAGCUAUUCGGGACGUUCCUUGUUAAAGAACAGGCAUUGAUGAAUGCGUCGAUAUUGUCUCUUUUUAUUGCCUCGCAAAUUUCAACAGGUCAGUUGGGCAAACUACGGGGAGGUAAUCACGAACUUGAUUAAUCAAGUUCAUGAUUAUGACGUCAUGAAAAUGGGGCGUGGCAUGACCAUAUAAGGAGUUGUAAUCAAGAUUUUGAUUACUUUUCGUGCACCGAACUAUUCAAGUGUUUCGUAUCGAUUGUUAUAAUGUCCAUAUCGACACGAUUUUUUACCAGGUGAAACGCAAUAUUCUAUUCUCCCGAAAUGAUAUGGACCGGUAGCAGUGGGAUAUGUACUUUAGCUCAUAUGGCGAAAGAUAAACUGCUAGCCUAACUUUUUCAGAAAAGUGAUAUUUUUUAAAGCCCUUUUUAGGCGGAUAUUAUUCUUUUAUCCACAUUUUUACGUUUCUAAUUUAAAAAUAAAUAAUUGGACAUUCAUUUUACACACGUCUUAAAUUGGUCGUAAUAAACAUUUCUUCCAAAAGGCACCGUCGCCUGUUAGCACGCCGCCAUUUGUCGUGUUGUCGGUGUGUGGGUGAGGCCGGAAAUUAGCGCCGAAUUAUUGGUAAUUUGGUUCUUAUAGGAAAAAUUAGCAUUUUUUCAAUAAUUUAGAUCAUGUUUGUAAAUUUGAAUAGCCUCAACGUUCAUGUGCGUCGGUAUAAAUGUUGAAAUAUCGCGAUAGAAUUUAUGAUGAUUUUGUAGGCUAUCAUGGCGCAUGCUUUCCGCGGUAUAAUAUUUUAAUUAUUUACAAAGUGUAUUGCUAUUUACAUGGUUAUAGUUUAUCUUAAAGUAAAUAAUAGGCAUAGUUUGUUGUUUGGGGCAAUUGUUGAUUAGAGAGGCACAUUUAACUGCCCACAGUAGCUAGAAAUGUUGUGGCCUGGCAGGUUGUGCAGAAGUUUGUAGUGUGGCCAUAUCAUUUAUUCUUGUCAAUUAUCUGUGCAAGCAGGUACCAAUAGGAUAUAUCUUUUAGUUUUCAAUAAAAAGUUAAACUUCGGCUUAUGCUAGGUUAUUCAUACUUGCAUUCUAAGUGGCUUUGUCAUGGAUUCAUAGAACAAUAAUAGAAGUGGUGACUGCAAAUGUGUCUGUUUUUCCACAGCUCAUCAAAGCACCACCUCCUCGCUGUAGCGGUGGGCGUCACCACAGUAUUGUUCAGGAAGCUUGUGAUAAUGGUACCUACGGUCCUACCUUGAGGAAUUUUCAAUCAAAAAAUGAUAUGAUUAACUUCUUUGGAAUUAAGCGGACUAACUACAGCUGCAUUUGUAUUAUGUGCAGCCCUCAUGCAAGACAGCAGGCCAGGAUGCAGGGACACACAGUGCAGGGGAUCAGCUGGGAGAACCUGCAGCGCAUUCUCCAAGAGACGACGGAAGCCAACGGAGGCCCGCAAAACUUUCCAUCCCAUAAUCGUGAAUGGAGAGCUGGGCGGGGAAGACGCGGUAUUCGUCGAGGCCCAGGAGGUGGUAUCGGCGCCACCAGACCAAGCAUUCCUGCUGUGGCAGGCCGCCUUUUGGAUUUUUAACAUCAAAACUCCUAAAAACAUGGUCAAUCUGAAUUGGUUUCUGAGAACCAAAGUGUUUGGUGGAGUGAAGGCCGAUGUGCCGCCAUCAGCGGCGGCCAUCGCGACCGUGAAGCAAGUGGAGUGAGAUCCCCGUAGAGCAUGCCGCGGCGGGGUGUCGGAAGCGUUUGCCAAUUCUUUGAGCCUUCCAUCGGCGCGGACUAUAAAUACACAUUUCAAUACACAUUUCUUGAAA
rnacentral:lncRNA from 1 species